GCUUAACACAUGCAAGUCGAGCGGUAAGGCCCUUCGGGGUACACGAGCGGCGAACGGGUGAGUAACACGUGAGCAACCUGCCCCUGACUCUGGGAUAAGCGGUGGAAACGCCGUCUAAUACCGGAUACGACCCGCCACCUCAUGGUGGAGGGUGGAAAGUUUUUCGGUCAGGGAUGGGCUCGCGGCCUAUCAGCUUGUUGGUGGGGUAACGGCCUACCAAGGCGAUUACGGGUAGCCGGCCUGAGAGGGCGACCGGCCACACUGGGACUGAGACACGGCCCAGACUCCUGCGGGAGGCAGCAGUGGGGAAUAUUGCGCAAUGGGCGAAAGCCUGACGCAGCGACGCCGCGUGGGGGAUGACGGCCUUCGGGUUGUAAACCUCUUUUACCACCAACGCAGGCUCGAAGUUCUCUUCGGGUUGACGGUAGGUGGGGAAUAAGGACCGGCUAACUACGUGCCAGCAGCCGCGGUAAUACGUAGGGUCCGAGCGUUGUCCGGAAUUAUUGGGCGUAAAGAGCUCGUAGGCGGCGUGUCACGUCUGCUGUGAAAGACCGGGGCUUAACUCCGGUUCUGCAGUGGAUACNGGNCAU
rnacentral:rRNA from 1 species